rnacentral:misc_RNA from 1 species
AACCGCCGUGUACCGGUCGGUACGCACGGUGGUGUGAGAGGUCGGCUCUUUAGUUAAGAGAGCCUCCUACUCGAU